UACGUAGGGGGCGAGCGUUAUCCGGAAUUACUGGGUGUAAAGGGUGCGUAGGCGGCACGACAAGUCAGAAGUGAAAGGCUGGGGCUCAACCCCAGGACUGCUUUUGAAACUGUCGGGCUGGAGUACAGGAGAGGAAAGCGGAAUUCCUAGCGUAGCGGUGAAAUGCGUAGAUAUUAGGAAGAACACCAGUGGCGAAGGCGGCUUUCUGGACUGAAACUGACGCCGAGGCACGAAAGCGUGGGGAGCAAAC
rnacentral:rRNA from 1 species